rnacentral:rRNA from 1 species
GUGAAAAGCACCCCGACGAGGGGAGUGAAACAGUUCCUGAAACCGGAUGCUUACAAACAGUGGGAGCCCAAGGCGAGUCCUUCAGUGGAUGUCCUGGGUGACUGCGUACCUUUUGUAUAAUGGGUCAGCGACUUAUUCUCAGUAGCGAGGUUAACCGUCUAGGGGAGCCGUAGGGAAACCGAGUCUGAAUAGGGCGUUGAGUUGCUGGGAAUAGACCCGAAACCGGACGAUCUACCCAUGGGCAGGUUGAAGGUGCGGUAACACGCACUGGAGGACCGAACCGGGAUCUGUUGAAAAAGAUUCGGAUGACCUGUGGGUCGGAGUGAAAGGCUAAUCAAGUCCGGAGAUAGCUGGUUCUCCCCGAAAGCUAUUUAGGUAGCGCCUCGGACGAAUACCACAGGGGGUAGAGCACUGUUUCGGCUAGGGGGUCAUCCCGACUUACCAACCCGAUGCAAACUCCGAAUACCUGUGAGUACUAUCCGGGAGACACACGGCGGGUGCUAACGUCCGUCGUGAAGAGGGAAACAACCCAGACCGCCAGCUAAGGUCCCCAAGUUCCAGUUAAGUGGGAAACGAUGUGGGAAGGCUCAGACAGCUAGGAGGUUGGCUUAGAAGCAGCCAUCCUUUAAAGAAAGCGUAAUAGCUCACUAGUCGAGU